CUCAUCUGUUCUUGGUGAGGCUGGCCAAAUUUCUGAGCUGAUCCCAAAUCUCUUCAGAGUAGCCUCUUGUAUGUGGAAAAAAUAUACCAGUUUCCAGUUUUCAUUCUAUUUUCUAGACUGUGUAUACUCAACCAAAAUCUGUUUUUGUUUUAGAGAACUACCUUGUUUGGUUAUUGAAAAGUAUCCAACAAUAUUGAUGAAAGAAUUAUUUUGAUCAAUUGAUAAAUCCCAUAAUUCAAAAGUUUAGGUUUAAAAAGUUGCCAACUCCUAUUAUUUUCUGCCUGUAUCUUUUUAGCUGUAGCAUCAUUCCUAUUUCCUUUGUGCAUGAUUCCAAAAAAGAAAAGAAAAAAACCCAAACAAACAUAAAAACCACAAAAAGUUACAAUUUGCAUGAGAAGAACAGCUGUACAUUCAUUUUCAUUUGUUUAAGGACGUUGUUUUCAAAACAGCUCUCAAACCUUAUAACUCUUUUUCUACAUGCUAACACUGUGACUUAUUUAUAAGAAACUGUUACAGCGAAGAAAAAAACAGUUAUUGGAUCCAAAGCUAUUUUUCAUGCCUUGGCACAAAAGGAAUAAAGGAAUGUAACAGAAGCUGCUCCUGCUAGUCUGGGUGGGCAGAAGAACUUGAGGUCCAAGGAUGCGAGUGGGAGAGAGCCUACACAGAACCCAGGAUGAAAGCAUGGCCCAUCUGGCUGUCUCUAGGCAUCAGCUGGGAUGUCCUCUCCUGCUAGGCAAGGUUUGUAGAACAUAGCUGUGGCAAAAAAUGUUACAUGUUCCCUAGUGACCUCGUUGUGGAAGCCAACUGGUCCAGCAUGAAGAAUGUCUGGGGGGAGCUGGGUGGUUGGAAUGGUUGGAACCAUACAAUUGUGCCACUGGUGCAAUUUGUGGUGUUGCUGUGAAAGUAUGAGAGGGAUGCGAAGGGAAUGUGAUGGAAAAGAAUGGCUAAAAAAGGAAUUGAGGAAUCACAUGAAAGAAAGUCAAAACACAGUGUAGUUUGUGUUUUGUCUCAACAAGUGAGAGUAAAGAGCUACUUUGAAGAGUGUUUCUGAGUGAGAGAUGCAUGGAAUUUGGACAGCUCAACGGCACCCCCACUAUUCUCAGGUUGUAAUGCACCUAAAUGACGUGGUGGAGCAGUACCUGUGAGGGUGGUUCAUGAUGUCUGCACAUGCAGAUAUUUCUUAUCUUCAUGGAAGCGGAAGAGUUAUUUCAAGGCAGCCAGGGUACCUCUAUCUUCUGCUUUGCUUUUUUUAAUCGCUGCAAGAUUUGCAACUAUUCACAAAAGAGGAAAGGCUUAUUGGCAGAAAGACAGCAGUUGGAAAUUGAAAAAAAAAAAAAAAAACAACCAAACAACACAACCCUGUAACUUGUGCUUCUGUAGUGAGAGCAGGAAUGCGUGUGAUUUAGACACAGCUUUACUCAGAAAGGAGAAACUAAUGCUAUCUCUGCUAUCUCUUGCAUUUUCACAGCCUCCAAGAGGUCUGUGUUAUUCCUUUAACCACAUCAGGAACACGGGUCACAACUGAUUUUACAAAUGUAGCCAGGAUCAGAAGAGCUGAAUCCUCCUC
ensembl:lncRNA